rnacentral:rRNA from 1 species
AACAGGGAUGCCUCAGUAGCGGCGAGCGAAGCGGCAACAGCCCAGAUUUGAAAUCUGUCCCCGCACGGGGUCCGACUUGUAAUCUGCAGAUGGGUCUUCCCGGGGGCGCGCGCGCCGUCCAAGUGAUCCUGGAACGGUCUGCCGUAGAGGGUGAGAGCCCCGUACGGCGGCGCCGCGUCUCCUCCAGCGAAGCCCAUUCGGAGAGUCGAGCAGUUUGGGAAUGCUGCUCUAAAGGGAGGUAAAUCCCUUCCAAGGCUAAAUACCUGCCGGAGACCGAUAGCGCAGAAGUAGCGCGAGCGAAAGGUGAAUAGAACUCUGAAAAGAGAGUUAAAGCAUGUGAAAUCGUUGAAGGGGAAGCGGUUUCGACCAGACUCGCGCCGGUCGGUCACCCAGCGGUCACGCUGGGGCACUCUGCCGGCGCGGGCCAGCAUCGGCUGGCGGCGGGGUCAAAGGCCCUGGGAACGUGGCUCUUCGGAGUGUUACAGCCCAGGGCGCAAUGCCCCGUCGCCGGCCGAGGAAUCUAGCGCCCUCGGGCACGGAUGCUGGCGUAAUGGUCGACUCCGACCCGUCUUGAAACACGGACCAAGGAGUUGACCCAGCGUGCGAGUGUAAGGGUGGAAAGCCCUGACGCGCAAUGAAAGUGAAUGCUGGUGGGAGCCCCUCGCGGGGCGCACCACCGACCGAUCCUGAAGUUCUCUGACGGAUUCGAGUAGGAGCACGCUGGGUCUGACCCGAAAGAAGUGUGAACUAUGCCUGGAUAGGGUGAAGCCAGAGGAAACUCUGGUGGAGGCUCGCAGCGGUUCUGACGUGCAAAUCGAUCGUCAAAUCUUGGCUUGGGGGCGAAAGUGAGUUUACUCCCGUCCCAACUACAAUCGGAUCCGUGCUGACCAUAGUCUUAAGGACCAA